UGGCUCAGUUGGUAGAGCACGUGACUCUUGAUCUUGGGGUUAUGAGUUCAAGCCCCAU
rnacentral:tRNA from 1 species